UUUGUAUGUGUUGUAAAACAGGGAUUCCCAAACUGUGGUACUCGUACCCCCGGUGGUACACGAGCUGCCACUAGGGGGUACGCGAGAUGAAAAGGGCAAUGGCGGAAAGGAGUUAAAAAUGAUUAAUUAAUUAAUACUCUAAUUAAUUCAUAAAUAAUACAUAAUUUCGAAUCAGGUUAUAAUGAUAUGGAAACGUGAAAUUAAAGGAAAUCAUUUGUAAACUCUAUAAUAGGGUAUGUUUUCAUUAAAAAAUAAGCUACACACAAUAGGCUACACGUGAUUUCCUGCGGGCAGCCAGAAUAUCUGGCACGUUAGUUUCGUUGAAGUAUAGGCUAGGUAGAAGGCUGUGUAAACAUGGAAAACUGGCUAAAAACAGGGACACUGUCCAAAAGGCCUAAUUAAAGCGAUCGAAGAGGAGAAGCGAGAGAAACAGAGCAGGACACAGGUAACGAUGGAAUGGGAUGGGGGGCAGACUAAUGAAGGUGGAGAUGGAACGCAGGGGGAUAAAAGAAAGAACGAGACAGAAAAGACUGCGCGAAGAAAACAAAAGUAUGAUGAGGCAUAUAGCCCUAGGAUUCACAUGGAUUGGGAGACAGACUGCCCAAAGCCACAGUGCGUGGUCUGCAGUGAGAUGCUACCUAACCAUUUUAAUGUGGUUCUCCAGACUGUUUUUUUUUACGU